rnacentral:rRNA from 1 species
UAAUACGUAGGGGGCAAGCGUUGUCCGGAUUUACUGGGCGUAAAGGGCGCGCAGGUGGCGUCAUCAGUCCGUCGUUAAAGCCUCGGGCUCAACUCGGGGUGGUCGGCGGGGACGGUGGUGCUUGGAGGCCGGUAGAGGAGCACGGAAUUCCCGGUGUAGUGGUGAAAUGCGUAGAGAUCGGGAGGAACACCAGUGGCGAAGGCGGUGCUCUGGGCCGGACCUGACGCUGAGGCGCGAAAGCGUGGGGAGCGAACCGGAUUAGAUACCCGGGUAGUCCACGCCCUAAACGGUGGCCACUAGGUGCGGGGGGUAUCGACCCCUCCCGUGCCGUAGCUAACGCAUUAAGUGGCCCGCCUGGGGAGUACGGCCGCAAGGCUA